rnacentral:tRNA from 1 species
AGGAUUAUCCUUUUUUUAGAA